rnacentral:rRNA from 1 species
UACGUAGGGUGCUAGAGUUGUCCGGAUUUAUUGGGCGUAAAGAGCGUGUAGGCGGCCAGGUAGGUCUGAUGUGAAAACUCGAGGCUCAACCUCGAGACGUCGGCGGAAACCAUCUGGCUAGAGUCCGGAAGAGGAGAGUGGAAUUCCUGGUGUAGCGGUGAAAUGCGCAGAUAUCAGGAAGAACACCCGUGGCGAAGGCGGCUCUCUGGGACGGUACUGACGCUGAGACGCGAAAGCGUGGGGAGCGAACAGG